rnacentral:tRNA from 1 species
CAGUAGGUAGUUUAUUAAAAUAUUAAUUUUGGGGAUUAAUGAUGAGGCGAAUACCUUCCUUCUGAAGU